rnacentral:rRNA from 1 species
AGAGUUUGAUCCUGGCUCAGAUUGAACGCUGGCGGCAUGCCUUACACAUGCAAGUCGAACGGCAGCACGGGAGCAAUCCUGGUGGCGAGUGGCGAACGGGUGAGUAAUAUAUCGGAACGUGCCCAGUCGUGGGGGAUAACGCAGCGAAAGCUGUGCUAAUACCGCAUACGAUCUCUGGAUGAAAGCGGGGGACUCGCAAGGGCCUCGCGCGAUUGGAGCGGCCGAUAUCAGAUUAGCUAGUUGGUGGGGUAAAAGCCCACCAAGGCGACGAUCUGUAGCUGGUCUGAGAGGACGACCAGCCACACUGGAACUGAGACACGGUCCAGACUCCUACGGGAGGCAACAGUGGGGAACUUUGGACAAUGGGCGCAAGCCUGAUCCAGCAAUGCCGCGUGCAGGAUGAAGGCCUUCGGGUUGUAAACU